GUGAGGCGACUGCGGGCAGGUAAG
rnacentral:piRNA from 1 species